GGACCAACAGAAGCUGGAGGAGGCAAGGAAGAUUCUUCCCUAGAGACUUUUCAGGGAGCAUGAUACUGCCAACAAUUUAAUUACAGAUGUUUAGACUCUAGAAUUAUGAGAGAAUAUAUUUAUUUCGUGUUAAGCCGCCUGGUUUGUUUUAAGCCACCACUUUGUUACGGCAGCUCUAGAACACUAACACGCCAUGCUAAAGACUUGUGGAGACUUUGUGAGAUUGUCGGGACCACUGUUAUUGUGACUGGCUGAGCAAAAUAUGAGCCGCUGGCAGCUGAGGGGGUCACAUCUUAUGAAGGUCCCAGAUGACAGGGAGUGUCCUCCAGUGUCAUCACUGUGUGUCCAAGUGUCUCUACCUCGAUUGGGGUCAGUCAUCCUGAAGUCAGAAAAAUAGUUAUUCCACAUGCCUCCAUGGCAGCAAAGAACAUUGGUGCCUACUACGAAUACUUCAGACUAGACAAGAAGACGCAAUCCAGUGUGCCUGUCCCUGCAUGUGAUGGUGUAAAAGUCAGGAUACAUGCAGAAGGAAAUCACCGGACAAAUGCCUGGGUUUGUAAAAGGGCUACUAUUCCAUAAUGGAGCUUUGGUAUUU